AUUGAACGCUGGCGGCAGGCCUAACACAUGCAAGUCGAACGAGUGGCGGACGGGUGAGUAAUGUCUGGGAAACUGCCCGAUGGAGGGGGAUAACUACUGGAAACGGUAGCUAAUACCGCAUACCAUCGGAUGUGCCCAGAGGGGAUUAGCUGGUAGGUGGGGUAACGGCUCACCUAGGCGACGAUCCCUAGCUGGUCUGAGAGGAUGACCAGCUACACUGGAACUGAGACACAGUCCAGACUCCUACGGGAGUCAGCAGUGGGGAAUAGUGCACAAUGGGCGCAAGCCUGAUGAAGCCAUGCCGCGUGUAGGAAGAAGGCCUUCGGGUUGUAAAGUACUUUCAGCGAGGAGGCGUUACUCGCAGAAGAAGCACCGGCUAACUCCGUGCCAGCAGCCGCGGUGAUUC
rnacentral:rRNA from 1 species